AACCCGGGAAGGGGCGGAGUCGCUGCCGUGGCGCCAAAAGGCGAACAUGGCGCCGGAGCGGCUACGAAGCCGGGCGGUCUCUGCCUUCAAGCUGCGCGGCUUGCUGCUCCGGGGUGAAGCCAUUAAGUACCUCACAGAAGCUCUUGAAUCUAUCAGUGAAGUAGAGCUUGAAGAUGCACUGGAAAAGAUCAUCGAUGCAGUUGAAAAGCAACCGUUGUCAUCAAACAUGAUCGAACGGUCUGCGGUGGAAGCGGCAGUCCAGGAAUGCAGUCAGUCUGUAGACGAAACUAUAGAACAUAUUUUCAAUAUCAUAGGAGCAUUUGAUAUUCCACGCUUUGUGUACAGUGCAGAAAGAAAAAAAUUUCUUCCUCUGUUAAUGACCAACCAUCCUGCACCAAAUUUAUUUGGAACAGCAAGAGAUAAAGCAGAGCUGUUUCGUGAGCGAUAUACCAUUUUGCAUCAGAGGACCCACAGACAUGAAUUAUUUACUCCUCCAGUGAUAGGUUCUCACCCUGAUGAAACCGGAAGCAAAUUCCAGCUUAAAGCAAUAGAAACGCUCUUGGGCAGUACAACCAAAAUUGGAGAUGUGAUUGUUCUUGGAAUGAUAACCCAGUUAAAAGAGGGAAAAUUUUUUCUGGAAGAUCCUACAGGAACAGUACAACUGGAUCUUAGUAAAGCUCAGUUCCAUAGUGGCUUAUACACAGAGUCAUGCUUUGUCUUAGCAGAAGGUUGGUUUGAAGAUCAGGUGUUUCAUGUCAAUGCCUUCGGAUUUCCACCCACGGAACCCUCUAGUACUACGAGGGCAUACUAUGGAAAUACUAAUUUUUUUGGAGGGCCUUCUAAUACAUCUGUGAAGACUUCUGCAAAACUAAAACAACUAGAAGAAGAGAAUAAAGAUGCGAUGUUUGUGUUUAUAUCUGAUGUUUGGUUAGACCAAGGAGAAGUGUUGGGCAAACUUCACACCAUGUUUGCUGGUUAUUCACCAGCACCUCCAACCUGCUUUAUUUUGUGUGGUAAUUUUUCAUCUGCACCAUAUGGAAAAAAUCAAGUUCAAGCUUUGAAAGAUUCCUUAAAAACUUUGGCAGACAUAAUAUGUGAAUAUCCAAAUAUCCACCAGAGUAGUCGUUUUGUGUUUGUACCUGGUCCAGAGGAUCCGGGAUUUGGUUCCAUCUUACCAAGGCCACCACUUGCUGAAAGCAUCACUAAUGAAUUCAGACAAAGAGUACCAUUUUCAGUUUUUACUACUAAUCCUUGCAGAAUUCAGUAUUGUACACAAGAAAUUAUUGUCUUUCGUGAAGACUUAGUGAAUAAAAUGUGCAGAAACUGUGUCCGUUUUCCUAGUAGCAAUUUGGAUAUUCCUAAUCAUUUUGUAAAGACUAUCUUAUCCCAAGGACACCUGACUCCUCUACCCCUUUCUGUGUGCCCAGUGUACUGGGCAUAUGACUAUGCUUUAAGAGUGUACCCUGUGCCUGAUCUCCUUGUCAUCGCAGACAAAUACGACCCUUUCACUCUGACCAAUACAGAAUGCCUCUGCAUAAACCCUGGCUCUUUUCCAAGAAGUGGAUUUUCGUUCAAAGUUUUUUAUCCAUCCAACAAAGCAGUAGAAGAUAGGUAAGUAUACCCCCAGAAGCAGCAAGCAGGCACUGCCGGCGUUGUAGUGCUGAAAAUCCGACGUCCUGUGGGUGUGCUGAGGUGUUAAAAAAUGUCUGUAGUGGUCCUUCGGAAAUGUUUCAGGCUGAACUUCUGGUCAUACUGUGGGACAUAGAAUGGUAUGUACUGGAUAAAAGAGAUUAAGAACUGUUUUCUGAGGGAUAUGUCAUACCAGCCAGGGAGGGGCUAGUUCUUUACAGGCUGACUCUUCAUGAUGUUUACUAUUUUGAGAGGUCAGCCCCACCCUCCACGUGGUUGAUUCUCAAAAUUUAGGUAAUCUGCCUUAAAUUGACAUUAAGGAAGUGUGUGGGAGGAACACGGGGUGUUAGUGUGGUGAUGGUGAGGGGUUGGGGUUGGGGGGUUGUCUUGGGAAUAAAGAAUAAUCCACCUGGGAGGGGUAGUGGUUUUCAUAGGGUGAUCUAUAGACCACCCUCAUCAGAAUCCUCCAUGAUCCUUUUUAAAAACGUUGUUCUCACUUAACCCUGGCAGGGGAGAUACCAUGAUUAUGAAAGUGGUUUUCCCAGGGUGAGGCUUAUCUGUUGCACUCCCUACGUGCUGACCCCUGUGAUUUCCCCAAAGUGAGAAAUCUAGAUGCAUAAUUUAUGGUAGCGGGGGACCGUGUUUGAGCUCUCUCCUGGGGGAGGGGUGUUAAGUUCCAGGAUCCCACUCCAGACUUACCAAAUGACUCUCUAGUUGUAGGGCCCAGGAAUAAGCAUUAUUGACACUAUUUCUCUUGGAAUCAGGCAUCCUAACAUGCGAUUUCUCAGUUAAUCAUAUUUUGAAAAAGCUCCCACCUUCAGAUAAGAACAAGUGACCAAAUAACUGCCUUGCAGGUUCUUGUCAGAGAAUGUAAUCUUGGACACACAGCCCAGUUGUCUUUAUUUUUUGGUAAUUAAUGUAUUUAUUUAAAUAAAAAUGAGCACAAGUACAUGAUAAAAAUUUCAAACAGUGCUUAAAGUAUAAAAUUGUAAAGGAAAAAAUACAUCUGCUUCCUAACCUUGAAACCAUGAUUAAGUUUCUUGUAUAUUUUAAAGAUUUAUUUAUUUGAGAGAGUGCGCAUGCACGUGAGUAUGGUGGGGAAGGGCAGGAGAGAGAGAGAAUCCUCAAGCACACUCCUGGCUGAGUGCAGAGCUUGACUCGGGGUUCAAUCCCAGGACCCUGAGAUCAUGACCUGAGCAGGUAUCAAGAACCAGACACUUAACCAACUGAGUCACCCAGGUGCCCCUCUUAUAUAUUUCUUGAAAAAACAAGUAUGCAUUGUUCUUGCUGCUCAGUACUCAUGGAAGAUGUAAGUCCAUUCACUUUAUGAGAUAUUGUAAGUUUUCCUCUUUUACUCAUUUGACAUAUAUUUGAUUCUUACUGUAUUCCACACACUGCUUGGUUUUUGGAAUGAAUAUAACCAGACAGAUACUCUCAUUAAGGUCACAGAUACUCUAUUCUAUAAGCCCCAAAAGUGUUUGACUUUACCUAGCCCAUGUUGAAUCCUGAAAAACCAAAAUUGAUUUGGAAUGCCCUUAGGUAAGAGCAAGCACUUGCCUCCAGUGUCUCGGCUGCCUGUUGUCACCUGGAUGCCCCUGAGGGCGUUUGAUUUUGUGACCCCAGGAUUUUACUGAGGGCUAUCUGCCUGGAGCAUAUUUUGUCCACUUUGAGAAUGACUUUUACUGAACUGCAAUUUGAUGUGAAACUUACUCUGCUAUGAAAACCAAUACUGGGAACUUUCAGCAGGGCUCAGGACAAAAGGAUUCUGUGUCUAUCCCAAGCAACUGUUUAUGUUUAUCUUAGGGGAGACUGUGAAUCUUCUAAUAAACUCCCUUUGCUUUAGCUGUUAGGAAGCACAACCAAAUGUGUAGCCUACUCCUCUACCUGCAGAAUAAUUACUAGCAUAAAUGUUGGGUGCAGCCCUGACUUCAUCUUUUUUUUUUUUCUGAACUGUAUUUUCCCAUUACUUGAAUUUCCUCAUUUACUUUUAUCUUUUUAUUACAUCUGUCUCUGCAAACCAUUUCAUAUUCUUUUUUUAAAAAAUGAGCUGGGAUAUAAAUAAGUAAACCACAAUAAGAAAUUAAUCAAUUUAUUAAUUAGGAUAGCUCAAGACACUUCAGUUACAUUUCUGGUAAUGUUCCCUGGCUGCCAUGCAGAAUUGUUUUGUGUUCUAAGCACUUUUUACAGAACUCUGUGAUAGUUCCCACGUUAUUGUAUUAGAAAUCACAUAUGUACCUGUCGUCUUCCUGAAAAGUUUCUAUUAUUGCCCUUGACUUGAGUUGAUGCUCACCAUUCAUGGAGUUGAAAUAGCUGGUUCCUUUAUCUUUUUUUUUUUUUAAAGAUUGUAUUUUUUAUUUGACAGAGACACAGCGAGAGAGAGAACACAAGUUGGGGGAAUGGGAGAGGGAGAAGCAGGCUUCUUGCCGAGCAGGGAGCCCGAUGUGGGGCUUGAUCCCAGGACUCUGAGAUCAUGACCUGAGCCAAAGGCAGAUGCUUAAUGACUGAGCCGCCCAGGCACCCCUCCUUUAUCUUCUUUAUAGACUCAAGAUACUGAAAAGCCUUGACAUGAUUUCCAAACUAUAAUUUAGUUUUUUAGUGCUUGAUCAAACAGGUUGAUGUACGUCUAUUUUUGAGAGAACAGAAAACAGCUUCAAGAUAUAAUGGAAUCAUUUGGUCUUCCUGCUACUUAGUUUCUCCAAAGAAGAAAUCUUUUGCAAACUUCAAGGUUUUUGAGAUUCUUAACAUCUGAAGAAAGAAAAUUCAUCAGUUUCUGCUUAAUUUUAUAUUUGUGAUUUUGAUAAGUUCCAGUAAAAUUAUAACUCUAGAAUGUUCUUAAAUUUGUAUUUUAUGAAAUUUUGGUAUUAAGUUAUAAUAAACAUGGUACACUCUACAGUUUUAUAGCAAAAAUAUUUUCUGUAUAGUCUUAAUAUGAAAAUAUGCAUGAAGAUAUAAUCUUAUACAUUUAUGCUUAAAAACUGGUCUCAUUAUUUCUAGACGAGCCA